GACGAACGCUGGCGGCGUGCUUAACACAUGCAAGUCGAACGGAAAGGCCCUGCUUUUGUGGGGUGCUCGAGUGGCGAACGGGUGAGUAACACGUGAGUAACCUGCCCUUGACUUUGGGAUAACUUCAGGAAACUGGGGCUAAUACCGGAUAGGAGCUCCUGCUGCAUGGUGGGGGUUGGAAAGUUUCGGCGGUUGGGGAUGGACUCGCGGCUUAUCAGCUUGUUGGUGGGGUAGUGGCUUACCAAGGCUUUGACGGGUAGCCGGCCUGAGAGGGUGACCGGCGACAUUGGGACUGAGAUACGGCCCAGACUCCUACGGGAGGCAGCAGUGGGGAAUAUUGCACAAUGGGCGGAAGCCUGAGGCAGCAACGCCGCGUGCGGGAUGACGGCCUUCGGGUGGUAAACCGCUUUCGCAGGAGACGAAGCGGGAGUGACGGUAAUGGGUAAAGAAGCACCGGCUAACUACGUG
rnacentral:rRNA from 1 species